rnacentral:rRNA from 1 species
UACGAAGGGGGCUAGCGUUGCUCGGAAUCACUGGGCGUAAAGGGUGCGUAGGCGGGUUAUUAAGUCAGAGGUGAAAUCCUGGAGCUCAACUCCAGAACUGCCUUUGAUACUGAUAGUCUUGAGGUAUGGGAGAGGUGAGUGGAACUGCGAGUGUAGAGGUGAAAUUCGUAGAUAUUCGCAAGAACACCAGUGGCGAAGGCGGCUCACUGGCCCAUUACUGACGCUGAGGCACGAAAGCGUGGGGGAGCAAACAGG